rnacentral:rRNA from 1 species
GACGUAGGGGGCGAGCGUUGUCCGGAAUUACUGGGCGUAAAGCGUGCGCAGGCGGUUCGUUAUGUCCGAUGUGAAAGCCCCGAGCUUAACUUGGGAAUGGCAUUGGAAACUGGCGGGCUGGAGUGCGGCAGAGGGGGGUGGAAUUCCACGUGUAGCAGUGAAAUGCGUAGAGAUGUGGAGGAACACCGAUGGCGAAGGCGGGAUCCUGGGCCAGUACUGACGCUGAGGAGCGAAAGCGUGGGGAGCAAACAGG